CCUACGGGAGGCAGCAGUGAGGAAUAUUGGUCAAUGGGCGUAAGCCUGAACCAGCCAAGUCGCGUGAGGGAUGAAGGUUCUAUGGAUCGUAAACCUCUUUUAUAAGGGAAUAAAGUGUGGGACGUGUCCUGUUUUGUAUGUACCUUAUGAUUAAGGAUCGGCUAACUCCGUGCCAGCAGCCGCGGUAAUACGGAGGAUCCGAGCGUUAUCCGGAUUUAUUGGGUUUAAAGGGUGCGUAGGCGGCCUUUUAAGUCAGCGGUGAAAGUCUGUGGCUCAACCAUAGAAUUGCCGUUGAAACUGGGAGGCUUGAGUAUGUUUGAGGCAGGCGGAAUGCGUGGUGUAGCGGUGAAAUGCUUAGAUAGCACGCAGAACCCCGAUUGCGAAGGCAGCCUGCCAAGCCAUGACUGACGCUGAUGCACGAAAGCGUGGGGAUCAAACAGGAUUAGAUACCCGGGUAGUC
rnacentral:rRNA from 1 species